AUAUAUUAAUGGCAGGAGAGAUACCAUAAUCAUGAAGCUGGUUUUCCCAGGGUCAGUCUUGUCCAUUUUAUCCAUUGCACUCUGGAUGUGCUGAUCCCUGUGAUUUCCUCAAACUCAACUGAACAAUUUGUGGUAGUAGGGAACUGCAUUUGAGUUCUCCCUUG